GGAUUGUGGCUCAGUGGUAGAGCACUUGCCUAGCAAGUGCAAGGCCCUGGGUUCGAUCCUCAGCACCA
rnacentral:tRNA from 1 species